GACAGAGGGUGCAAACGUUGUUCGGAAUUACUGGGCGUAAAGCGCGUGUAGGCGGCCAUCUAAGUCGGGCGUGAAAUCCCACGGCUCAACCGUGGAAGUGCACUCGAAACUGGAUGGCUAGAGUCCUGGAGAGGAAGGUGGAAUGCUUGGUGUAGAGGUGAAAUUCGUAGAUAUCAAGCGGAACACCGGUGGCGAAGGCGGCCUUCUGGACAGUGACGUGACGCUGAGACGCGAAAGCGUGGGGAGCAAACAGGG
rnacentral:rRNA from 1 species